UACGUAGGGUGCGAGCGUUAAUCGGAAUUACUGGGCGUAAAGCGUGCGCAGGCGGUUUCGUAAGUCUGUCGUGAAAGCCCCGGGCUCAACCUGGGAAUUGCGAUGGAGACUGCAAGGCUUGAAUCUGGCAGAGGGGGGGUAGAAUUCCACGUGUAGCAGUGAAAUGCGUAGAGAUGUGGAGGAACACCGAUGGCGAAGGCAGCCCCCCUGGGUCAAGAUUGACGCUCAUGCACGAAAGCGUGGGGAGCAAACAGG
rnacentral:rRNA from 1 species